ACGAGUUUUAAUUGUUAGGUUAGAGUUGAGCUGGUUAAUCUAAUUAAUAUGUGCUUACUCUAAUCGAAACAAGUCCACUCAUUACUUAACACUUGUGAACUUAUUCAUUACAAACAUUAUUAUUUGUUAUUGGAGACGUUUGAUUAUUAAAAAGUUAAUA
rnacentral:misc_RNA from 1 species